GACGAACGCUGGCGGCGUGCUUAACACAUGCAAGUCGAGCGGUAAGGCCCUUUCGGGGUACACGAGCGGCGAACGGGUGAGUAACACGUGGGUGACCUGCCCUCAGCUCUGGGAUAAGCCUGGGAAACCGGGUCUAAUACCGGAUAUGACUCCAUGACGCAUGUUGGUGGGGUGGAAAGCCUUGUGCGGCUGAGGAUGGGCCCGCGGCCUAUCAGC
rnacentral:rRNA from 1 species